UGCCGAUCUGUCUAAUCUACAUGCCUCCGUCGACGGAGGCAUGUAGUCUAGACACACCCUAUGAUUCCAAGGUCAAGAUCUUGUUGCAGCUAAUUCUGGGCCAACAAUAAUUUUGUGGUCUCAUAUCUUCCAAGUUGACUGAGCGAUUCCUAAGACUUCUUCUGGUAUAUAUGACAAGGAGUCCUGUGGCACCUUAUAGACUAACAGAUGUGAUAUAUAACACUGGUAUAUAAACAUUCAAAUGCAGCCCAAGCAGUUUACAGUAUUUCAAAUCUCAGAAUCACAAGAUUUUGAAGGAAACCAGGAUUUAUAGACGGAGAGAGAGAAAUAGCAAUAGUAAUGAAAAUGAUGAUAAACCUCUCAAGCCUCUUUUCUUUGAAAUGUCUCACAUGAACAAACUAUAGGAUGGCACAAUAUGAUAUAUAAGUUUUACCAGAACUCACUUGGAUGACUGAAUAAAAAUAAAACAAAAUAAAAAUCAUACGCAUUAUAUGUAGCUUGGUGGCUAUUUACUGCCUCCUGAGCAUCCCCGAGCACUCCUUCUGUGACUGAUAUGUCUCUAUUUCACCUUCAUCCAGGCCCCUCUAAGAAUUCAUUCAGCCUCCAAUGACCUUCCAACCUCAAAUCCUUUAAUUCACUCUUCAUUAGUGCUCAACUGGCAACAGUUUAAAAAAAACCACAGACCGAGAAAGUCCAAAACAAACAGAGCUGUUUAGCUUAUCUUUCCUUCUUUAACUCCUACACAACUCCCACCACCAGCCCCUGCUCCAGCUGCCAGGUUUCCUGCCUGAGGCAGCCUGAUCUCCUCUCUCUGCCACACCUCAUCCCGUAACUCCCUGCUGUCUUUUAUGUUGGAAUCACUUGAUUCCUUUCAGGUGGGCUCAUCUUGUAAUCAGUGUUAGGGCCAAGCUAUCCUAUUAUACCAUAUCACACACUGGCUGGUUAGUGAUACUUUUUUCCAAUAAAGGCAAUUCUUAGAAAUAUAUAUUUUAAACACUUUUCUUGUUAAAAUACUAUAAACUGCAAGCACUAAUCCAUUAGAAAGAGAAGCACUCUUGUUGAAAAUAGCUUACAAGUUAAGUAAAAGGACAAAAACAUCUCAUAAUACUGUAGAAAGUUUUGGGAGAACCAUAGCAACAAUCACUGUUAGAGCCUUGGUUGCUAAGGAACCACUAACAACAAUGCUAAGUAUUAUGAGGUGUCUCUGACCCUAAUUCAUUGGAUGAGUUGCUGGCAGUGAGAGAAGGAAUGUUUCGUGGUUUCUGAUAACUAGUUGGGGUAGACCUCAUAUCUCCUUGCCCCUUCUCCAAUCCUGAAUUCCAAAUGAAAUCAGAGGCCUGAGAAGGGAUGCUGUCCUGUAGUCCUAACCAAGAUGGAAGCCAGACACUCUUGAUAGGGGUCCUUGGUUGUGGAACACUCUUCACCCUUCACUGCUGGAAUCACAUGUUUGCAGAUUUUCGGGAACAAUGUCUUCAUCACAGGAGGACAUUUGAUGAAGCAGAGUGUUUGGAUCACAAAAAAAAGGAAAACUAUUUUCUUCUAUGAAGACAUUUUUGAAAUUGGAGUCGUGAAUUCAAUGAACAUCAAAGAGAAUUUUCAAAAAGUAUAUCAGACGAUACCCUCAAAACCUGAGAUUAAACGUAUACAAAUUUCUCUGCUGCGUUAUUUUCAAUGCAGUAAUUUACUUGGUCCAUGUUAUUGGAUAAAUUAGGGCCAUAAUCUUGUAACGUUUUGCUUCACAAAUCAUAUUAUACAUCUCAUAUUUUUACUGAGGAAAUGUUUUCUUGCUGCUUUGUCCUUUUUACAGUGUACUGUAUAGUCCCAUCACAUAAUGCUUUGCAUGUUUCUUUUUCUAAAAGAAUUGUUUUUAACACUUUGCAUAUGUAAAGAGGCACUGGGUAUGUCUAUCCAAAUCAUUGUGGAUACAAAUUCAAUUUACACGCAUACAUUUCUGUAUACAAAUAUAGGUCCCUUUAAAAAUGUGUCCUACAUCAUAAUAUUCUUUAAAUAGCAGUUAUUUCCAUUAUGCUUUUAUGAGGUCAUAAAAUGAUGCUGUAACAAUACAGUUAGAAUCAUUAUGGUGGUAGUUAAGGCACAAAAAGGAGAAAAUCAGAAAUUAAUUUUUUUCCUGCUUAAUAUUCAGCACAAUAUUCAAACUACAUAGUCUGCUUCUUAUUAGUAAACAGCAUCCAUUGCCUUUUUGGGAAAUGUGUUAAUAAUUUCCUCCAUAAUUGCAGUUAGAAACAAUAGCUGCAGUUGGAAAUUUACUAAUGUAAAACAUGCUUGAAAUGCCACCAUGAAGAUCAGGGUUUGGCAGAAAACACCUGGAUAACAGACAUAAAUCAAAUCUAGCAACCUGUAAAUCUUUCAAUAUGAAUGUGUUAAUACAUUUAUUUACAGGUGAACUACAUUACACUGAUAUAUUGAUACUGUCUCAAAAAAGUAAGAAAUUUCCCAGAUAUAAAAGAAGAAUUUUAGAGGAAUAGAUGAAGAAUCCAUUUUAAUUCAAUUUAUAGAAAAGAAAAGAAAAGAAAAGAAAAGAAAAGAAA